rnacentral:lncRNA from 1 species
GGGCGGAGCGGGCACCGCCUCCUUUCGUAGCGGAGCGAGCCGGGCGGCGGGCGGCUGCGGCCGCUGCGGAGGCCCCGAGGCUUCGGAUGGCUUGCAAAGGUCAGCAAGGAGAAGCCACCUUGAUCAUCUGCAGUGGAGACAAGACCAUCUGGGCAACUGGACACCCACCCAUCUGCCCCAAGGGAACCAAGCCAUUUCCAGAGAUCUCUCCUGGCUUUUGCAUUCUAAGGUUUGGUCCCACAGAUUCUAGAAAAUUUUGUCUUACUUUGUCUCUGAUCUUCUAUUGCAUAUUUCUGUGUGAUAAAAACCAUAUUGUGUGUGGAUAAAUGCCAGCACUCACUCAUUCAUUCAUUCAUUCAUUCAAUAUUCAUUAAACAUUUGCUCUGUGGAUGGAGUUGGGACUGUCAAUACUAACACAAUGCUGUGCGCCU